AGCAGCUUGGCGCAGUGGAAGCGCGGUAUGUGAUUUCAAAUCUUCUCAUCUCAAACAUGCACUAACAAUUCCCGUAGCCGGGCUCAUAACCCGGAGGUCAUCAGAUCGAAACUGAUAGCUGCUA
rnacentral:tRNA from 1 species